AUGUUAUUCUUUUUAACUUGCUUUAAUGUGCUCAGGGAUUUUUCUUUUUUCUUUUCUUUUGUUAGCUGGCUUUGUUUUGGAGAAAGCAAGGCUGUAGACCCAGAGACUCCCUCUUACGGGGCUUGGAGAACAGAGAAAGUAUUAGGGAAAAACAGGAGCGUCUCUUCCUUGGGCUGUUUUGCACCCUUUUGUGACAUGCAUCUUGGAAGACACUGCCCCAGAGAAGAGGAGCUGCUGGCUGGUCAUGAUGCACCGCCUGGGAUAUUUUAUUUUCUGCAGCUGAGGUUGUGGUAAUUUGUCCUGUCUCUACUCCUGCCUUCUCCCCCACAGCGCUGUUGCACGCUGUUGUACUCCCAUCACCCUGUAAGCUCACAAUAAAGCCUUUCACUAGGGAAUGGUCUUAAAGGGA
ensembl:lncRNA